AACCUGGCGGCGUGCCUAACACAUGCAAGUCGAACGCCCUUGNAGCAAUCAAGGGAGUGGCGGACGGGUGAGGAACACGUGGGUUAUCUACCUUGAGGUGAGGAAUACCGGCGAGAAAUCGCCGACAAUACCGCAUACGUUUGGAAACAAACAAAGCUGAGUCAUCGGCGCCACAAGAUGAGCCUGCGCCCGAUUAGCCAGGUUGGUGGGGUAAUGGCCUACCAAGGCGACAAUCGGUAGCUGGUCUGAGAGGACGAUCAGCCACACUGGGAUUGAGAACGGCCCAGACUCCUACGGGGGGCAGCAGUGAGGAAUUUUCGUCAAUGGGGGAAACCCUGAACGAGCAACGCCGCGUGCAGGAAGAAGGUUUUCGGAUCGUAAACUGCUUUUCUUGGGGAAGAGAACGGACGGUACCCAAGGAAUAAGCCCCGGCUAACUACGUGCCAGCAGCCGCGGUAAUACGUAGGGGGCAAGCGUUGUCCGGAUUUAUUGGGCGUAAAGCGCACGCAGGCGGUCUGUUAAGUUUCGAGUGACAGGUCAGGGCUUAACCCUGGCAGGCCUUGGAAAACUGGCAGACUUUA
rnacentral:rRNA from 1 species